UACGUAGGGUGCGAGCGUUGUCCGGAAUUAUUGGGCGUAAAGAGCUUGUAGGCGGUUUGUCGCGUCUGCCGUGAAAUUUCGAGGCUCAACCUCGAACUUGCGGUGGGUACGGGCAGACUAGAGUGUGGUAGGGGAGACUGGAAUUCCUGGUGUAGCGGUGAAAUGCGCAGAUAUCAGGAGGAACACCGAUGGCGAAGGCAGGUCUCUGGGCAUUAACUGACGCUGAGGCGACGAAGCUGGGGAGCAACAGGAUUAGAACC
rnacentral:rRNA from 1 species